UACGGAGGGGGCAAGCGUUAUUCGGAAUUAUUGGGCGUAAAGGGCGCGUAGGCGGCUAGAUGUGUCAAAGGUGAAAUCCCUCGGCUCAACUGAGGAACUGCCUUUGAAACUGUCUGGCUUGAGGCCGGGAGAGGGUAGCGGAAUUCCCAGUGUAGAGGUGAAAUUCGUAGAUAUCGGGAGGAACACCGGUGGCGAAGGCGGCGACCUGGGUAGAUACUGACGCUGAGGCGCGAAAGCGUGGGGAGCAAACAGG
rnacentral:rRNA from 1 species